rnacentral:tRNA from 1 species
GCCUGAGUGGCUCAGUCAGUUAAGCGUCUGACUUCAGCUCAGGUCAUCAUCUCAUGGCUCGUGAGUUCAAGCCCUGCAUCAGGCU